UACGUAGGGUGCAAGCGUUGUCCGGAAUUAUUGGGCGUAAAGAGCUCGUAGGCGGUUUGUCGCGUCUGCUGUGAAAACUCGGGGCUUAACCCCGGGCCUGCAGUGGGUACGGGCAGACUAGAGUGCGGUAGGGGAGACUGGAAUUCCUGGUGUAGCGGUGAAAUGCGCAGAUAUCAGGAGGAACACCUGCGGCGAAGGCGGGUUGCUGGGCUGAUACUGACGCUGAGGCGCGAAAGCCAGGGGAGCGAACGGG
rnacentral:rRNA from 1 species